rnacentral:rRNA from 1 species
GUGGGGAAUAUUGGGCAAUGGGCGAAAGCCUGACCCAGCAACGCCGCGUGAAGGAAGAAGGUCUUCGGAUCGUAAACUUCUAUCCUUGGUGAAGAUAAUGACGGUAGCCGAGAAGGAAGCCCCGGCUAACUACGUGACAGCAGCCGCGGUAAUACGUAGGGGGCAAGCGUUGUCCGGAAUGAUUGGGCGUAAAGGGCGCGUAGGCGGCCUGGUAAGUCUGGAGUGAAAGUCCUGCUUUUAAGGUAGGAAUUGCUUUGGCUACUGUCGGGCUUGAGUGCAGGAGAGGUAAGUGGAGUUCCCGGUGUAGCGGUGAAAUGCGUAGAGAUCGGGAGGAACACCAGUGGCGAAGGCGACUUACUGGACUGUAACUGACGCUGAGGCGCGAAAGUGUGGGGAGCAAACAGGAUUAGAAACCCUAGUAGUCC